rnacentral:rRNA from 1 species
UACAGAGGUGGCAAGCGUUGUUCGGAAUUACUGGGCGUAAAGGGCGCGUAGGCGGCCUUCUCAGUCGGACGUGAAAUCCCCAGGCUUAACUUGGGAACUGCGUCCGAUACUGGAUGGCUUGAGUGCGGGAGAGGGAUGUGGAAUUCCAGGUGUAGCGGUGAAAUGCGUAGAUAUCUGGAGGAACACCGGUGGCGAAGGCGGCAUCCUGGACCGACACUGACGCUGAGGCGCGAAAGCCAGGGGAGCAAACGGG